CCUACGGGAGGCUGCAGUGGGGAAUAUUGGGCAAUGGGCGCAAGCCUGACCCAGCAACGCCGCGUGAAGGAAGAAGGCCUUCGGGUUGUAAACCUCUUUUCUCAGGGACGAAGAAAGUGAUGGUACCUGAGGAAUAAGCCACGGCUAACUAGGUGCCAGCAGCCGCGGGAAUACGUAGGUGGCAAGCGUUAUCCGGAUUUAUUGGGUGUAAAGGGCGUGUAGGCGGGAGGGCAAGUCAGAUGUGAAAACUCAGGGCUCAACCCUGGGCCUGCAUUUGAAACUGUGUUUCUUGAGUGCUGGGAGGGCAGGCGGAAUUCCGUGUGUAGCGGUGAAAUGCGUAGAUAUGCGGAAGAACACCAGUGGCGAAGGCAGAUUGCUGGAGAGUAACUGACGCUGAGGCGCGAAAGCGUGGGGAGCGAACAGGAUUAGAUACCCCGGUAGUC
rnacentral:rRNA from 1 species